UUAGUCUAGUAACCAGCCAGGGGGAGGAAAGGGGAGACCCACUGAUUUAGAGCCCUUCUUCUGUUCAGCAGACACAGGGCAUCCGAGCCUGAGCUAGACCGAGUCCCUACCUUCAGGGAGCUCAUGGCCUGGCAAGGGAAUCAGAGCAAAGAACUCUAGGAAGAGACUAAAACCUUGUAAAGGUUUGGAGGCGAGGGCUGAUAGAGGGGUGGAGAGCAAAUCGGAAACAACGAGGUUCAUUUCAAAUGGUGCUUCCUGCCUGGGCUGUUGGUGGGUUGCUGUUUAGUGGAAAUGAGAAGUAGAGACACAGGCAAGAGCUGGAAAGAGCAGUCUGGGUUCACUUCCUGGGCUGCUCAGCUCCUGAUGAGAAGACACCAUUUCCAGGCAGCCUGGAUGCAAAAGCCUUUGGCCUACUUUCCAUUCAGAUUUUGAUGAGGGUGAACACUCUGGGUCACUGUGGUUUAAUUCUUGUUAAAACCCUGAUUUUUUUUUCUCUGCUUGCGGAGAAAGGUCUUGGAUGAGAAGAAGCUGGAAUGUUAGCUGUCCAGCUCACAGCAGGGGCCCUGGGGCCCCUCCCCCACCCCAUGCACACUGGUGACCAGUGGGUAAGAGGUGGCAGUGUCACCAUGGGGGAACUUGACCUCUUGGCUCCACAGUCAAAAACAAAGCUUUGUGAAACAAAAAGAAUAAUAGCUGUGGCUGGCGGGCACCCUGGAGGGAGAGCAGACAGUUCUGGGCAGAUGUCCGAGCUGGGAGUUGGAGGUCACUGAGUCAAGAUCGUCCUCCUCCAGCAAAGAAAGUUUUCAAGAUUUUUAACAAGAACCCAACCACCGUGACCCCCACAGUGUCCACGCUACUGAAAACUGGAAGGAAAGUAGGCCAAAGACAUCAUGCCGGGCUGCCUGGAAGUGGUAUCUUCUCAGUAUGAGCUGAGCAGCACGGGACUGACUCCUUCUGCCCGCCGACCCCCUUGGCAAUAGUGGAGGGGCUGUGGGUGACAAAAGGAACCUACCUUCCGGAACAUCCCAGGAAGCUCAGGUACCACGAUGAGACUUGCAGAGACAAUAAUCCUCCCCACCUAGCUGCUUCCUCUCAGAACUGCCACAGAGAAAACACUGGAAAACCACUUAAAAUGUAUGUAUUAUAUAGAUAUUAAUACAUUAAUAUAACUUUUUUUUGGAUUCUUGCUCACUGCAAUUGAAAAGUUCUAUGACCACUUUUGGUAUAAAUAAACAGCUCAUCCUUAUUGAAGCCCCCAUGAAGAAAAGACACUUUUCAAAGGGCAAACAUGAUAUCAUUCCUUGCAUGUCUCUGAAGAUUAACUGUGGGACAUGCACUGCCAUAGAGUGGUCACCAUUGCAGGGCACCAUGGAGUUGGAGGAAUUUUUAAUGUCCUCUGUCGUUGCUCUUAAGUAAUGUGUUUAAGCCAAUCCAGGAAACCUCCUAGGAACAGAGCACAUUUUAGGCAGGCGUUCCAGUAUUUCUCAGACUGGUGGGCUGCUGAUGAAGCAUGGCAGUUUGGGAAUUACACAAUCUCUGCUCACAUGCAUUUCUUAAUAAUUCACUGGCUACAGUUAAAUAAACAUUUUUGUUCCUAUUCUUCGUAAAAAAUAGCCAAAGAGGAGUUCCUGUUGUGGCUCAGUGGUUA